rnacentral:rRNA from 1 species
UUGGAAUCGCUAGUAAUCGCGGAUCAGCAUGCCGCGGUGAAUAUGUACACGGGCCCUGUACACACCGCCCGUCACACCCUGGGAAUUGGUUUCGCCCGAAGCAUCGGACCAAUGAUCACCCAUGACUUCUKGUCACACUAGUGCCACAAAGGCUUUUGGUGGGCUUAUUGGCGCAUACCACGGUGGGGUUCGACUGGGGUG